rnacentral:rRNA from 1 species
CCUACGGGAGGCAGCAGUGGGGAAUCUUGCGCAAUGGGCGAAAGCCUGACGCAGCAACGCCGCGUGCGGGAAGAAGGCUUUCGGGCUGUAAACCGCUUUCAGCAGGAACGAAAAUGACGGUACCUGCAGAAGAAGGAGCGGCCAACUAUGUGCCAGCAGCCGCGGUGAUACAUAGGCUUCAAGCGUUGUCCGGAUUUAUUGGGCGUAAAGAGUUCGUAGGCGGUCGAGUAAGUCGGGUGUGAAAAUUCUGGGCUCAACCCAGAGACGCCACCCGAUACUGCUUGACUUGAGUUCGAUAGGGGAGUGGGGAAUUCCUAGUGUAGCGGUGAAAUGCGCAGAUAUUAGGAGGAACACCGGUGGCGAAGGCGCCACUCUGGAUCGAUACUGACGCUGAGGAACGAAAGCAUGGGUAGCAAACAGGAUUAGAUACCCUGGUAGUCCAUGCCGUAAACGGUGGGCACUAGGUGUGGGUUUCCUAUUAACGAAAUCCGCGCCGUCGCUAACGCAUUAAGUGCCCCGCCUGGGGGAGUACGGUCGCAGACUAAACUACAAGAAGUAGACGGCGNGAGACGNGCGAGACGACACGAGGAGAGG